GGAGAAGUGGCAGAGAGGUUAAUUGCGGUAGUCUUGAAAACUACUAAAUUGAAAAAUUUCGUGGGUUCGAAUCCCACCUUCUCCU
rnacentral:tRNA from 1 species